AGCGAACGCUGGCGGCAGGCUUAACACAUGCAAGUCGAACGCCCCGCAAGGGGAGUGGCAGACGGGUGAGUAACACGUGGGAACGUACCCUUUGGUUCGGAAUAACUUGGGGAAACUCAAGCUAAUACCGGAUAAGCUCUUAUGGGGAAAGGUUUACUGCCGAAGGAUCGGCCCGCGUCUGAUUAGCUAGUUGGUGAGGUAAUGGCUCACCAAGGCGACGAUCAGUAGCUGGUCUGAGAGGAUGAUCAGCCACACUGGGACUGAGACACGGCCCAGACUCCUACGGGAGGCAGCAGUGGGGAAUAUUGGACAAUGGGGGCAACCCUGAUCCAGCCAUGCCGCGUGAGUGAUGAAGGCCUUAGGGUUGUAAAGCUCUUUUACCCGGGACGAUAAUGACUGUACCGGGAGAAUAAGCCCCGGCUAACUUCGUGCCAGCCGCCGCAGUAA
rnacentral:rRNA from 1 species